GGACAUUUCUCUGCUCGCGUUUCUUCUCCCCUACACGCCCGACUCCCCCAAAUCCCUUCUCGCGACUUCUUCCAAUCCGGCGACGGCAGCGACGGCGACGACCUCUGUUGAGCGGCUACGUUAUCUUCUCAGUGUCCUCUGCCAGCGGAGUGGUUUUGCUUCAAGCGGCGAGGUCCCAGCAAUUCUAUUUCAAGCGGUGACGACGGGGAGAACAAGCCCUAGUGACCGGAGUGGUUCUUCUCCGGUGAGGUCUUCCCCUCUCCGUCCCUACCUCUGGCGAAGCUCCCUGCCGACGUGAUUGCGAAUGCAAGGAGAUCUCAACAGAGGACGCCGGCUUCAUUCUUCUUCUCCGGUGAGCUUGUUCUGAACCCUACUGACUGUUGCGGAGGAUUUUCUGUGGACGGGGUUCCGAAAGCAGAAGUCUCCUCCAUCUCAGUGCACAUUCCAACUCCGGCAAAAGCAUUUCAAAUUCCGGCAGAGCAGUGAGCACCUUCUUCUUGAUUCCAGCCAUUCAUCUUCUCCAGUGAUCUUCUUCUCAAACUUCAUCACUGAGUGUUGCUGUGGCUUCUGUGGACGGCGUUGCGAAUGCUGGCAUGAUCCCAGCAACUUCAGACUUCAAUUCUGUUAAGUAAUAUGGAGAACAAUACUAAAAAGACUCGCAGAGAGCUUUGAGCACCAGACUUAUCAGAUGAUUCUUUUUGCAUCAGAUAUUUUGAUUUGAAAGCAGACUUUGAGUUAUGGCAGAUUAUUCAUUUAUUACCGAAGUUUCAUGGACUAUCUGAUGAAAAUCCCAAUAGAUAUAUACAAAAAUUGGAUAUGGUAUGUUCUUCAUGGAACCCACAUGGUGUAUCAGGAGAUGAUGUUAGACUUAGAGCAUUUUCAUUCUAACUGGUGGAUUUAGUAAAAGAUUGGUUGUAUUGUCUCCCACCCGACUCUAUCACCAGCUGGAUUGAGAUGAAGAAAUUAUUUCUGGCGACGUUCUUUCCUGCUUCUAGGAUUGUAGCUAUUCGGAGGAGUAUUUGUGGAGUCCAAUAAUUCAUAGGAGAACAAUUUCAACAAUAUUGGGAAAGAUUUAAAGGACUUGUUGCUAGUUUCCCUCAGCACUAAAUAAGUGAUCAGUUACUGAUUAUAUACUUCUAUGAGGGAUUGCUUCCCAUGAACAGGAGUAUGGUUGAUGCAGCUAGUGGAGGAGCUCUAGUUAACAAAACAUCUACUCAGGAUUCACGUAUGGGAACACAUAACAAGGGACUUUUGAGUAACUCCAGUUUUAUCAGCCUUACUUUCAGCACCAUCAGCCUGAGCAACAUUUUACGGAGUAGUCACAACAAUCUUGGCAACAAUAAGAAAUACAGUUCCAGGAAAAAACACAUUCAUCAACACAGUUACAAUUGUUAUUAGAUCAACUUACUCCAUCAAUUUCUGAGGAGAUGAAUUGUAGAGUUUGUGAUAUUUCUGACUUUGAUUUUGCUACUCUAUAUGACUCUUCUAAUUUUUUAUAUUGUGAUGUUAUAGUUGAUUCUGAUAAUAUUUUUGUUGAUGAUAUUGUUGUUCCAGAUAUUCUUGAUGUUGCAGGUGUUUUGAUGUUGGAAUUGUAGGGGAGGCCCAAGAAUCGUUACCACCUGAGCUAGUUGAGUCUGCAGUUGUACUUAGUGACGGUGGAAUUGUAGGGGAGAUCUAAGAAUCACUUCCGUUGAUUGUACCUGAUCUAGAGCUAGUUCUUUUACCUAUUCAAAAGAAUACCGCAUUCACUGUUCUAGAGCUUCUAGGUACUUUUCAGUAUGGUAAGGUGGAUAUUUCUUUAGAAUUCUUAGAAAAGUCCAUGGAGGUAAUUGUUCUAAUUCUAUUGAAUGUGACAUAUCUUUUGAUUCUUGCUUUGUUGAUAUUGAUAUUAUUUCUAGUUCAUCUCACAUAAUAUAUGUGCAGGAAUUGCAUCUUCUUUUUAGUGCACAAGAUUUCUACAGACAUUUCAUUUGCAGUCAAUCACGCAAGGAUGCAUUCUACCACUUGAAGAAAGCCCUAACACUUUAUGCAAUAAUGAAGUUUCUGAAGUGGGCACUCCAAUUGAACUAUUUUUGACCACCAGAGAAAAUUUUUGAGAAGACGAUAGCGAAGGGAGUGACUCUCACUUCGCCUGCAAUUGAAUUAUACCCUCACUUCCAAUUAUCUAUCGAUUGCUUCAAGCACAAACCAGGUUUUAUUGCUCUUUUACUAUUAUUUUCACUACUUGUCUUUAUUACAUUGCUACUUGCUAGCUUUGUUGCUAGUUUUGUGUGUUUUAUUUUUACACUUGAAAUUUGUAUUA